rnacentral:rRNA from 1 species
UACGUAGGGCGCAAGCGUUAUCCGGAAUUAUUGGGCGUAAAGAGCUCGUAGGCGGUUUGUCGCGUCGGCUGUGAAAACCUGGGGCUUAACUCCGGGCCUGCAGCCGAUACGGGCAGACUAGAGUUCGGCAGGGGAGACUGGAAUUCCUGGUGUAGCGGUGAAAUGCGCAGAUAUCAGGAGGAACACCGGUGGCGAAGGCGGGUCUCUGGGCCGAAUACUGACGCUGAGGUGCGAAAGCGUGGGGAGCAAACAGGA